AUGGAUACGGAGGCAGCCCAAACAACGGCUCCAGAAAUCAGUGAUGCAAAAACUUCGGUAAAAUCAUCCACUACUACUCUUGCCAGUAGGUAUGGUCGCACGAGAAAACCAAACGUAUCAUCUGACUUCGUGGCCCUCGGCAAAAAUGUCAAAAACUCCCUCUCACCUAGCAUUUGUGCGAGCAUUACGAAUGAUCAAGCUCCUGACCCAUCUAAGCAACAACCGGUCUCGCAAAAGCAAGCAAGCACUUCAUCUAACAGGCUUGCCAAUUCUGAAACUCCUGGAAUCAUGGGAAAUGGCGAAAUUUCCAUCACGACUCCUGAAAGCUCAUCAAAGGCUGGGAACCAUAGAGAUAGCAUAAAAGCUCAAGACACCAAAAUCAAAGCAACAGAAUCUGUGACGACUCCAGCUAGUGCAUCAUCAACACCUACAACUCCAUCAAGUUCAAUAAUGCCAGGCUGUGAAUUUGUUGGAAAUGCGGAUAAAGAGUGGGCCGUUGGUGACGUGGCUUGGGGCGGAAUGGGCAAGUUCCCAUAUUGGCCCUGCAUCAUAAUGAACGAUCCUCUUUCCAAAACACACGUCUGUGAAAAAAGUAAAGGGAGAAGCAUUUCUAAGUGUUAUUUCCUACAGUUCUGUGGUGAUAAUGGAAGACACAGCUGGCUCCCUGCGAAAAAUUUAUUAGAAUUCAUCAACAAGCAGCAGUUCUUCGAUUUGCAGUCGAAAGUGCUCCAAGACCCUCGAAAGAAAGCAACAUUUGCGGUAAAAUUCACACUAAAAUCUCACUCCAAAGACAGUUGGGAAAAUGCCGUCACGGAAGCUGAACACUUGAUGUCCUUAGGAAGCGCUGACAGAGUACUGCACUUCCAACUACUGUACCCCAUGGAGGUCCAAAGAACAAAGAAAGAUCUAAUUAAACUGCUCAUGGAAGAAGAAGUUCCAUCUAGUAAUCAGAAAUCGCAGCCUAAAACCUCCGCAGCUUCUGAACCAUCUGUAAGUGCACAGGAUUCGUUAUCAGCACCUAAGAAGCAAGAGGGUAAAGUCAAGAGAGCUGACCGGAAAAGAGGAAUUCCUUUGAAUACAAAAUCUAUUCAAAAGAAGCAAGAACUUGGGUCCAAUGAGGAGAGCUCUGAAACAGAGAUGAAUGAAGAGGUUAAAUCAGCCCCCAAGGUAAAAAGGCAGAGAAGUCCAGUGAAGAAACCAAAGAAGAAGAGGAAACAAGAGUUUGGACCGGACUUUGACUUGUAUUAUUCCAAAACUUUUGAACGCUUAGCGGAUGAACAUCCCGAGCUGAAGAUGAGAUAUCGAGAAAUAUCUGCGGAAAGUCUGGCUGGCGAUGGAAAGACACUCAAAAGCUCAAGUACCAACCCCGAUUAUAGAAGGAAGUUUCUUAGGAGGAAGAAGGAGAAAGAAUGGCAAAUGAUGAGGAAGGCGACCGGUGCCUGAAACCAGCGAGCAUUUUUUUUCUUUUGACCUUGCCUUGUGCUGUUUUUGAGAAUACAACAACUGUAAGAGAAGAUCAUUUGCGUUUACUUAAUUCGUGGAUACCAUUAACUCAGUCAAAAUACGACAAUGGGGCAAAGAGUAUCACCUCCUCUCACUGUCUGAAGAAUUUUCACAGCUACAGGUGGUAACCUCACUUUGUUGUCUCAUUUUCUGAUUCCAAUGAAUAAAAGACCGGGAAGUCUAAGGAUUGACACCUGUGUGUAGUAGUAUAUUGUAGGAAGCCAGCAACUCUUUUCAUAAUGUGGCAUUGCCGCUGUUUGGAGCGAUAUUUUUUUGAAGUGGUUGAAAAAAGCACUUUUCACGAUGACUUUCUUAUGACCCCAUAUUCUGCACUAAAAAAUUUAUAAAUCAUUUCAAAUGGAAACGUCAUCAGCUUUUAGCGUGUCAGUAUUUCGAUAGGAAGAUUGUUUCAUCGAUCGUUGCCGAGAGCAAUUUUAUACCUAUUCAAGGAACAGUUCAGGGGAAAAGAGAGAAUGUCGUGCACAGUUAAGUUUGUAUUAUUUCCCCGAAGGACUACGUAAAGAAUACCAAGAAAUUCGACACUAUAUCUAAAUAUCAAUAUUCUUUGAUAUGAUGCUCCUCGCAGCCUCCAGGAGGCAAUGACCUUUUAAAAUUGAAUUUUCCAGGUGUCAAACUACCGAGCUGAAAAGUGCGUUUUUCAGUAUUUUGCUUGCAACAUCUCAUUUUUGUUACAACAUCGGUAAUGGAGGAGAAUUUUGUUUUCUCGCAGGCUGGGAAGAUAAUGUAGACGAAAAUAAUCAAACCCCUUCGAAUGAUCAGCGUGCAGCACAGAACUUAUACAGAUAUAAUAAUAGUCUCACAUCUCCUCUAGAAAACUUGUGCGAGACAGCUGAAAAAUUCCACUCUUCAGCCUCGCUUUUCUCGAUAUUGGCACUAAUACGUUUGAUUUUACAAGUUCCAUCUUUCAUUAUUUUAGAUAUUGACUCGUCGAAAGUGAUUAAUCCGAAAAUUCCAGUCCAUGAUAUACAAGCACGAAGUGCAAACUUCAAACAUCGCAAAUUACAUUUGAAACAAUCAAGUCUUCGCACAGUUUCCCUGUGAUGUCUUGAAACAGAAAAAAUGACCGUCCAUUCCAAGUAAUCGUUACAAGGGAGAGUAAACUAAAAUGUUUGCAUUGCCUGUGAAUGUCUUAUAUUCAAUGAAUUUCACGAUCCAACCAAUUAUUAUCAAAGAUACUUUGUUUUUCAACUAUCUCAGCUUUUCUCACUUUUUUAAAGUAUUUAUUUUCGUUUUUUGUGCAUGGCAAACGCUCUGUAGCCAUUUCCGUAACACUCCCUCCACCAGGAGAAUAAGUCUUCUCUGAGCAACAAAGUGUGAAGAAAGUAAAACCUCUCAUAAAAAUUAGAUGUUAUCAUAUUAGAGUCAUUUCUUAGACAGUCAUUGGCCUUGACCGAAACUCAGGGUGUCUAGCAACCUGGAAAUGUCAGGAAAUUUUUUUUGUGUCAGGGGGAAAAAGUCAGGGAAUCCACAAAAAUUCGGCAUGUCAAGGGAUUUUAUUUUGUAAGCGAUUUUCGUGUCAGGAAAAUCGAAAAACACGGAUAUUUCGGAAAAUGUUUUGUGAAUUUUACUCUUGCAGAGAUUUUCCCACGAAAAUUUUAUCAGAAUUUCUGUUGAUAUAUUUUAAAUUUUAGAAAUGAGGCAAAAAUAUCUCUCAUAAGUUUAGGAACCAUUUAUUUUGCUCCAUUUAUUCAUUAUAUUCAUAAGACAUAUACAAAUUCUUACUUACAUCCAAUCAGUUCGACCGUGUUGAAAAAUUAGGAAUGGACCACUAGACAAGGUACGAAUUUCAGCAUUCUGAUACAUGUUUCUUCACCAAAAUUCCACGCAGAACACGAUGCGUACAACGAAAAUUACCGCAAUUAACUCCUUACGAAGAUACUCAAUGAUUCUUGAUGCGUGAAUUCAAACCACCCGCUCAUGAAAACUCAAUGCUCUACGUGAUUCACAUCGCGCGCUAAACGUUAGCAUGACAGUCUGUGCGAUAUAAAAAUCUGGCAACCUCAAUCUUGACACUUUGGCUCAGCUAUAGCAAAUUGCUAAUAGUUUGAACAACACAUGGUGGGAAAUGAACAUCGCUCAAUCGAGAAGCUUGCUGAAACCGUUGUAGUACGCGAUUUGACUCACGUAGAGCUUUGAGUUUCUUGUCAGCG
rnacentral:lncRNA from 1 species